rnacentral:rRNA from 1 species
CCAAUAGCGUAUAUUAAAGUUGUUGCAGUUAAAAAGCUCGUAGUUGAAUUUCGGGAUCAAGUCGUCGGUCGUGCCUCGGUACGCACUGGUGACAUUGGUUUCUCCCUUCUGAAGAACCUUGAUGUCAUUAAUUUGGUGUCUUGGGGAAUCAGGACUGUUACUUUGAAAAAAUUAGAGUGUUUAAAGCAGGCUCACGCUUGAAUACAUUAGCAUGGAAUAAUGAAAUAGGACGUUUGAUUCUAUUUUGUUGGUUUCUAGGAUCGACGUAAUGAUUCAUAGGGAUAGUUGGGGGCAUUAGUAUUCAAUUGUCAGAGGUGAAAUUCUUGGAUUUAUUGAAGACUAACUACUGCGAAAGCAUUUGCCAAGGAUGUUUUCAUUAAUCAAGAACGAAAGUUAGGGGAUCGAAGACGAUCAGAUACCGUCGUAGUCUUAACCAUAAACUAUGCCGACUAGGGAUCGGAUGAUGUUAAUUUUUUAAUGACUCAUUCGGCGCCUUACG